GAUGAACGCUGGCGGCGUGCUUAACACAUGCAAGUCGAACGAGAAGUGAAGACGGAAACCUUCGGGCGGAAGGCUUUAUUUCGAGUGGCGGACGGGUGAGUAACGCGUGGGUAACCUGCCUCAUACAGGGGGAUAACAGUUGGAAACGACUGUUAAUACCGCAUAAGACCACAGCACCGCAUGGUGCGGGGGUAAAAACUCCGGUGGUAUGAGAUGGACCCGCGUUCGAUUAGCCAGUUGGCGGGGUAACGGCCCACCAAAGCGACGAUCGAUAGCCGAUCUGAGAGGAUGACCGGCCACAUUGGGACUGAGACACGGCCCAAACUCCUACGGGAGGCAGCAGUGGGGAAUAUUGCACAAUGGGGGAAACCCUGAUGCAGCGACGCCGCGUGAGUGAAGAAGUAUUACGGUAUGUAAAGCUCUAUCAGCAGGGAAGAAAAUGACGGUACCUGAGUAAGAAGCCCCGGCUAACUACGUG
rnacentral:rRNA from 1 species